CCGCAUAGAUCGCAUGAAGAAAAGUGCCGGGACUGGUAGAUGAUGGACUUAUGGCGCAUUAGCUGGUUGGUAGGGUAACGGCCUACCAAGGCGACGAUGCGUAGCCGACCUGAGAGGGUGACCGGCCACACUGGGACUGAGACACGGCCCAGACUCCUACGGGAGGCAGCAGUAGGGAAUUUUCGGCAAUGGGGGAAACCCUGACCGAGCAACGCCGCGUGAAGGAAGAAGUAAUUCGUUAUGUAAACUUCUGUCAUAGAGGAAGAAGGUGGAUAUAGGGAAUGAUAUCCAAGUGAUGGUACUCUAUAAGAAAGCCACGGCUAACUACGUGCCAGCAGCCGCGGUAAUACGUAGGUGGCGAGCGUUAUCCGGAAUUAUUGGGCGUAAAGAGGGAGCAGGCGGCACUAAGGGUCUGUGGUGAAAGAUCGAAGCUUACUUCGGUAAGCCAUGGAAACCGUAGAGCUAGAGUGUGUGAGAGGAUCGUGGAAUUCCAUGUGUAGCGGUGAAAUGCGUAGAUAUAUGGAGGAA
rnacentral:rRNA from 1 species